CGCCCAUUCCCGGCAAGGCAGGACCUCUGAUUUCAUAAUCUCAGUUCUGGCUCCUGCUGUCGACACUGUUUCCUUUAGAAACAAAACAACAGUCAUUCUUGGCCGAGGCUGGCCCCUUCCCCACCCACACACAGAUCUGGGCCCGCCGGGAAGAGAGCGGAUUCUGGAGUGGCGAGUGAUAGGGCCAUUGGGUACCCGGGGGGAAGCCAUGAGGAGACAGAAGGGAGAGGCUGAGGGGGGCAGCGGGGGACGAGUGCUGGAGGCUUUGACUACCUACCAUAGGACCCAGUAAGUUUUUAAUAUCAUUUUAUUUUUUUAUUUUGGCAAAAUAUACAUAACACAAAGUUUACCACUGUAACCACU
ensembl:lncRNA